rfam:Angiostrongylus cantonensis strain Taiwan genome assembly, scaffold: ACAC_scaffold0004596
GGUCCUGUGGUGUAGUGGCUAUCACGUCUGCUUCACACUCAGAAGGUCACCGGUUCGAUCCCGGCCAGGACAU